rnacentral:tRNA from 1 species
UCCCUGGUGGUCCAGUGGUUAAGACUCUGCUCUUCUAAUGCAGGGGACGUGAGUUUGAUACUUGGUUGGGGAA